AGUGAACGCUGGCGGUAGGCCUAACACAUGCAAGUCGAACGGCAGCACAGUAAGAGCUUGCUCUUACGGGUGGCGAGUGGCGGACGGGUGAGGAAUACAUCGGAAUCUACUUUUUCGUGGGGGAUAACGUAGGGAAACUUACGCUAAUACCGCAUACGACCUACGGGUGAAAGCAGGGGAUCUUCGGACCUUGCGCGAUUGAAUGAGCCGAUGUCGGAUUAGCUAGUUGGCGGGGUAAAGGCCCACCAAGGCGACGAUCCGUAGCUGGUCUGAGAGGAUGAUCAGCCAUACUGGAACUGAGACACGGUCCAGACUCCUACGGGAGGCAGCAGUGGGGAAUAUUGGACAAUGGGCGCAAGCCUGAUCCAGCCAUACCGUGUGGGUGAAGAAGGCCUUCGGGUUGUAAAGCCCUUUUGUUGGGAAAGAAAAGCAGCAGGUUAAUACCCCGCUGUUCUGACGGUACCCAAAGAAUAAGCACCGGCUAACUUCGUG
rnacentral:rRNA from 1 species